GACGAACGCUGGCGGCGUGCCUAAUACAUGCAAGUCGAGCGGACUUUCAAGAAGCUUGCUUUUUGAAAGUUAGCGGCGGACGGGUGAGUAACACGUGGGCAACCUGCCUGUAAGACGGGGAUAACUCCGGGAAACCGGGGCUAAUACCGGAUAAUAUCUUUCUUCGCAUGAAGGAAGGUUGAAAGGCGGCGCAAGCUGCCGCUUGCAGAUGGGCCCGCGGCGCAUUAGCUAGUUGGUGAGGUAACGGCUCACCAAGGCGACGAUGCGUAGCCGACCUGAGAGGGUGCUGGGCCACACUGGGACUGAGACACGGCCCAGACUCGUACGGGAGGCAGCAGUAGGGAAUCUUCCGCAAGGAGCGAAAGUCUGACGGGGCAACGCCGCGUGAGCGAAGAAGGUCUUCGGAUCGUAAAGCUCUGUUGUCAGGGAAGAACAAGUACCGUUCGAAUAGGGCGGUACCUUGACGGUACCUGACCAGAAAGCCACGGCUAACUACGUGCCAGCCGCCGCGGUAA
rnacentral:rRNA from 1 species